UAGGGAAUCUUCCGCAAUGGACGCAAGUCUGACGGAGCAACGCCGCGUGAGUGAAGAAGGAUUUCGGUUCGUAAAACUCUGUUGUUAGAGAAGAACAGCGCAUAGAGUAACUGUUAUGCGUGUGACGGUAUCUAACCAGAAAGCCACGGCUAACUACGUGCCAGCAGCCGCGGUAAUACGUAGGUGGCAAGCGUUGUCCGGAUUUAUUGGGCGUAAAGCGAGCGCAGGCGGUCAAUUAAGUCUGAUGUGAAAGCCCCCGGCUCAACCGGGGAGGGUCAUUGGAAACUGGUUGACUUGAGUGCAGAAGAGGAGAGUGGAAUUCCAUGUUAAGCGUUGAAAUGCGUAGAUAUAUGGAGGACCACCAGUGGCGAAGGCGACUCUCUGGUCUGUAACUGACGCGGAGGCUCGAAAGCGUGGGUAGCAAACAGG
rnacentral:rRNA from 1 species